rnacentral:rRNA from 1 species
UACGUAGGGGGCAAGCGUUAUCCGGAUUCACUGGGUGUAAAGGGAGCGUAGACGGCCAUGCAAGCCUGGAGUGAAAGCCCGGGGCCCAACCCCGGGACUGCUCUGGGAACUGUGCGGCUGGAGUGCGGGAGGGGCAGGCGGAAUUCCUGGUGUAGCGGUGAAAUGCGUAGAUAUCAGGAGGAACACCAGUGGCGAAGGCGGCCUGCUGGACGAUGACUGACGUUGAGGCUCGAAAGCGUGGGGAGCAAACAGG